GAAAGGACGAGAGCUGGCAAUAUUUUAAGAAAAUGACUUUGAGGAACUAUUGUCAUUCGCAAUUGAUUUUGAUUAGACUUUUUUUACUUGCUGUUUGAGGAGAGAGACGGGACUAUCUUGGAUCCUCUGGGGAGCCUCAACAACAUCAUGAAGCUGAUGAGGCAGAGAAGAGUCUCUUCAGAUCAGAACACCUCAAGAAACACCAGCAGAGACCCACAGGGAAGAAAUCUUUCUGCAAAUCUUCAUCGGAACCUAAAAUACACCAGCGAGUACACACAGGAGAGAAAGCUCACCACUGUUGUGGGAAGAGUUACUCAAGACCAG
rnacentral:lncRNA from 1 species